AUACGGAGGACGCGAGCGUUAUCCGGAUUCAUUGGGUUUAAAGGGUGCGCAGGCGGCCGUGCAAGUCAGCGGUGAAAGCCCGGGGCUCAACCCCGGAAGUGCCGUUGAUACUGCAUGGCUGGAAUGCGGUCGAGGCGGGCGGGACGUGGCGGGUAGCGGGGAAAUGCGUAGAUAUGCCACAGAAAGCCGAUAGCGGAGGCAGCUCGCCAGGCCUGCAUUGACGCUCGGGCACGAAAGCGUGGGGAUCGAACAGGAUUAGAUCCCCUGGUAGUCCACGCCGUAAACGAUGGGCGCUCGUCGUCGGCGGCAGACAGUCGGCGGCCAAGCGAAAGCGAUAAGCGCCCCACCUGGGGAGUACGGUCGCAAGGCUGAAACUCAAAUGAAUUGACGGGG
rnacentral:rRNA from 1 species